rnacentral:rRNA from 1 species
GAUGAACGCUGGCGGCGUGCCUAAUACAUGCAAGUCGAGCGAACAGAUGAGGAGCUUGCUCCUCUGACGUUAGCGGCGGACGGGUGAGUAACACGUGGAUAACCUACCUAUAAGACUGGGAUAACUUCGGGAAACCGGAGCUAAUACCGGAUAAUAUAUUGAACCGCAUGGUUCAAUAGUGAAAGACGGUUUUGCUGUCACUUAUAGAUGGAUCCGCGCCGCAUUAGCUAGUUGGUAAGGUAACGGCUUACCAAGGCAACGAUGCGUAGCCGACCUGAGAGGGUGAUCGGCCACACUGGAACUGAGACACGGUCCAGACUCCUACGGGAGGCAGCAGUAGGGAAUCUUCCGCAAUGGGCGAAAGCCUGACGGAGCAACGCCGCGUGAGUGAUGAAGGUCUUCGGAUCGUAAAACUCUGUUAUUAGGGAAGCACAAAUGUGUAAGUAACUAUGCACGUCUUGACGGUACCUAAUCAGAAAGCCACGGCUAACUACGUG